UGAAGAGGGAAGAAGGAGGAGUGGAUUUUGCUUAAUGGUUUAUGCAGUUUAGCAGCAGAAGAUUCAAGGGUGAAAUUUGUUCAGUUAUGAUGGAGUUUUGAAGUGAGGUUAUGGGUCGACGAAGGUGAGGUAAGGAGGCGUGAAGUAUGGUGAGCAGUGGCCAGAUUUGGCCGAAGUGGUGGUGAUUUGAAAUUGUUCAUAGUUGAUGAUGAUGUUGACGAAGUGGUG
rnacentral:lncRNA from 1 species